rnacentral:rRNA from 1 species
AUGAAACCGGAACGCUAGUUUCGGUGGAGCCGUCCUUGAAAUACCACCCUGGUUUGUUUGAGGUUCUAACCUUGGCCCGUGAUCCGGGUCGGGGACAGUGCAUGGUAGGCAGUUUGACUGGGGCGGUCUCCUCCCAAAGCGUAACGGAGGAGUACGAAGGUACGCUAGGUACGGUCGGAAAUCGUGCUGAUAGUGCAAUGGCAUAAGCGUGCUUAACUGCGAGACCGACAAGUCGAGCAGGUGCGAAAGCAGGUCAUAGUGAUCCGGUGGUUCUGUAUGGAAGGGCCAUCGCUCAACGGAUAAAAGGUACUCUGGGGAUAACAGGCUGAUACCGCCCAAGAGUUCAUAUCGACGGCGGUGUUUGGCACCUCGAUGUCGGCUCAUCUCAUCCUGGGGCUGUAGCCGGUCCCAAGGGUAUGGCUGUUCGCCAUUUAAAGAGGUACGUGAGCUGGGUUUAAAACGUCGUGAGACAGUUUGGUCCCUAUCUGCCGUGGGCGUUGGAUAUUUGAAGGGGGCUGCUCCUAGUACGAGAGGACCGGAGUGGACGAACCUCUGGUGUACCGGUUGUGACGCCAGUCGCAUCGCCGGGUAGCUAUGUUCGGAAGAGAUAACCGCUGAAAGCAUCUAAGCGGGAAACUCGCCUUAAGAUGAGAUAUCCCUGGAGGCUUGACCUCCUUGAAGGGUCGUUCGAGACCAGGACGUUGAUAGGUCAGGUGUGUAAGCGCAGUAAUGCGUUCAGCUAACUGAUACUAAUUGCCCGUAAGGCUUGAUCCUAUAACA